ensembl:snRNA U6 U6 spliceosomal RNA
GUGCUCAUUUUGGCAGUAUAUAUGCUAAAUUGGAAUCACACAGAGAGGAUUAGAAUAGUCAUUGCACAAGCAUGAUGUGUAGACUCAUGAAGCUUUCCAUAUUUUU